rnacentral:tRNA from 1 species
GGCCGGUUAGCUCAGUUGGUUAGAGCGUGGUACUGAUAACCCCAAUGUCGUGGGUUCGAUCCCCAUUCGGUCC